rnacentral:rRNA from 1 species
AUUGAACGCUGGCGGCAGGCUUAACACAUGCAAGUCGAGCGGGGUGAGGUGCUUCGGUACUGAUCCUAGCGGCGGACGGGUGAGUAAUGCUUAGGAAUCUGCCUAUUAGUGGGGGACAACAUUCCGAAAGGAAUGCUAAUACCGCAUACGUCCUACGGGAGAAAGCAGGGGAUCUUCGGACCUUGCGCUAAUAGAUGAGCCUAAGUCGGAUUAGCGAGUUGGUGGGGUAAAGGCCUUCCAAGGCGACGAUCUGUAGCGGGUCUGAGAGGAUGGUCCGCCACACUGGGACUUAGACACGGCCCAGACUCCUACGGGAGGCAGCAGUGGGGAAUAUUGGACAAAGGGCGGAAGCCUGAUCCAGCCAUGCCGCGUGUGUGAAGAAGGCCUUUUGGUUGUAAAGCACUUUAAGCGAGGAGGAGGCUACCCAGAUUAAUACUCUGGGAUAGUGGACGUUACUCGCAGAAUAAGCACCGGCUAACUCUGUGCCAGCAGCCGCCGAAACAC